UUGAGACUCGGCCCAUUGACCGAGGUUUUCGGGGCGUCGACUAAACUUCACUCAGACCAAUCGGAGUUCACGGUGAAACUUUGUAAACAACUCUUACACGUUGUUUUAAAGCUCAUUUUCUGUAUUUACUCCAAAAUGACGCGAUGGUGCUGUAGCCAAGGGGGUCACAAGUGCCGAAACAGACAGUCAUCCAGAUGUGAAAGUCAAACACCAUUAUUUAUGAAGACAGUAGGAAUGAUAACGAUGGAAAACAGAAAGAAGCAGCACCAAAAGAAAGUUGCCAGCCUGUUGUGGCCCUACAGAAGACCUUGCACCUGGGUCAGACUCAUUCUUGGCACAACUGAGUGAUAUCAUAAACAUGGCUGCAAUGACCAGCGAAGAUCUGAUCCCACUUGCAAGCAGUCCAAGCUUUUUAUGAAUGGGUUCCUGUCAGUGGUUUAUGCUUAGGAGUUCGCUUCAGGAGGUGAUCUCAGGGCCUUCCUUCCUUCCUUCCUUCCUCCUGACACAGAGGCCUGGGGGAGUCGCAGGGGAGUCAGGAUGGCCGGAUGUGCCCUGAUCAGACAGACAGAAAGACUGACAAGGAACAGACAUGCAGACGGGAGGAUGCUGCGGCUACUGUGGACUUUGGGCUCGGUUUUGUUCCCAUCCGGAGCUACAAUGAGAAUGACAUCAUUCCUGUUUUGAUAGGACAACAGGAAGGUGGUGGGAGAUGGACAGCAGCAGGGAGUGUGGGUGAGAGUAUGAAGGAGUAUGAGGAAACAAAAGGAAAUCUUAAGUGUUUAUCAGUAAAGAAUCAGAGCUAUGAUCCUGCCAGUGGAGGUGUAUUUGACCUAAAGCCUGCAAGAGUCUUUGAUGUGCCCCCACAGAACUUUUUUUUAUUUUCAGAAACAUACAGCACUUUAUUUUUCCCCUCUCCCUUCUCCUUCUGAAUCUAAUAAAGCAAUAAAAUCAGUAAAGUGAAUUAAGUCUACAGCCGGAUUUGCCUCACAAGAGUUCUUUUAUACGUCAGUCUCAAAUGCAGCCUGCGCCUCACACAGGAAGAGCCACGGCUAUACAAAGCAACCUCAUGUCUUAGUGUACAGCUCUGUACCUGCAAGCUAUUCAAGACUAACAGAAGCUUUGUAGUUUCAGAGCACUUCUCAGUGCAGUUUAUCUCCUCUGCACGACAGCCAUUUCCUCCACCAUUCUCUGGGGGAAGAGAAGAAGAGAAAUGAUAGCAAGUGGCUGGAGGAGCAGAAGAAAGAGAGGAAAGAAAGACAGAAUGAAAGAAAGUAGGGGGAGAGAGGGAGGAUCACAAUAAUAGUAAUCUCUCUUCUCUCCCCUCCAUUUUUUUUUUCUCGGAAGAGGAUACAGUGAGUGCCAGCUGUGCUCUGCUGCUGCUGUACAGUGCACACUACUUCAGAGAAGUCAACCUCACUGCACUCCAUCCACCCCAUUGAACUGCCAGCUCUGGCUAUCAAUUCUGAGCCUUGUGCUGUCACUGCAGGCCUCUGGACACAGCAGCUGGCUGCAGGAAGACAAGCGCUCUUCCACAGAGUCUGUCCUCCCAUCAGCUGCACCCAGCUGUCUAGCAGCAGCCCCACUAUUCAGAGCCCUGCCUGCUGCCACUGGUGAGGGAGGCCUCUUUCACUGCUGUCACCGGUUCUUUGCUGACUGGAGUCCCCUUCACCAUACUUUCUUUUUCACUUCUUCCUUCCUAAAUUUUCAACCGUACAGACACAUCCGCCCUUGAGCUGCGCAGCAGGCCUCAUAUGUCUGUCUGGGCUCACUUUCUAUCCUUUCUUUCUCUUUCUUCCCAAGUCAAAUUGUCCAUCUGUCUCUGCUUUUACCAACUUUUUCUCCACUAUUUCCAUCUUGCUUUCUCACUCCCACCCAUUCUCCUCCUGUCUUCCAUGCUGGGUCUUUAGAUGAACUUUCCUUCUUCUUUUGCCGUUGCAGCCUUUCUUUCUUUUGCCUCCAUCCAUGUCCCUUCUGUCUCUCUGUUUUGUGGUACCCAUUCCUCUUUUCCGUCUUUGUUGGUUGCCAUGUCUCAGUUUCUCCACUCCUUUCUCUGCAGCUCUGUCCCUUUUUUUGCCAAUCGCUCUUAUUUCCGCACAAUUUCCAUCUCAUUCUUUGUCGCUCUGCCGCAAUCUAAACUAUGUCCCCUUUUUCCAAAUGUCACAAUGCUGUAUCUUUUCUUUCCCUUUUUCUUUAGAGUAACUUCUUUUUCUGACCCUCUUUCUGCUGUAUUUUUUUCACAGGUGUCUGUAAGGCGGGGAUUUACAUUUUCUCAGGACAGGCAGCCCGUGGAGAGAGGCCUGCUGGCAGAUCAAAGGCUCCGGCUGUAAAACGAUCUGAAAGAGUCCGGCAUUAGCAUCCAUCAGGGUACCUUGAAAGCUCCCUGGUCAGCCGAGAGGGAAGCUGAGGGCCCCCCAAAGUGAAAGCCCAGUCUGGAGAGGGGUGAUGAAGGGGCGGAGGGAGGGUAGAAUGGGGGUGGAUAGAGAGAGAGAGAGAGAGAGAGAGAGAGAGAGAGAGAGAGAGGUGGAGGGAUGAAUAACUCAGCUAAAGUCAUGAAGGAAAUAUUUCCACGAGGGAGGAAAAUUCCCAUUACAAGCUGCAAAUGUUUUUAUUUCUCUUUUGGACUCAGCCACCUACCUCUUCCCUUAACUCUUCCUCUCUCUUCCUUCCUCUAAACUUCUUCUUAAUUUCUUCCUCACUGCAUUGAGGCUGUAAGGGGAGAACAUCUCCAUCUGUGCACCAUCUCCACUCAGCUCACCAGGCCCAGACUUUUACUACUCCACCCUGUAGUUUACUCAUAGGUUCAUGUCUUGUCAGGGAUGGGAAAUAGUGUGAAGGAAGGGAGGGAGGCAUAGAGUGCAGGAGGAAGUGAAACAUGGGGUGGCUUCAUAUACAGUAUCUCUUUACAUCAGAAUUGAAAUUGGGAGAGAAAGAGAAGAGAAAUGGCAGCAGUAUGGAGGCUGUGUGUGUGUGUUCCUUCUUUUAUGCAAUAAGCAUGAUUCAUAGUCUUGAAAUGGAUAGGUACCUAACAUGUGUGAUAGGGAUCAAGAUUAGACCUGCAUUCCUGGUGUGUUCCAGUACCUCUGCAUUUGUGUCUUUUUCAAUAACAAAAGUAAAGGCCACAUAAAUCUUUAAAAAAAUAAGUCUGCAUCUUUCAAGCUGUUCUUGUGAUAAAAUUCCCUCAAGAAACAAAAUUUAUAGACAGUGAGACCUGACAGCACUGAGCUCCUUUUUUCCUGGAAAGACUCUCAGUAACAGUGUGUUACACACUGAUAUUUUCAAAUGUCUGUAGUUUUCAAAUUCCCAAGUAGAAGCACAACCACAGCUGACUAUAAACCUUUUAGCACUGACUUUCCCUCAGCUCCCAUACUGUGACACAAAGUCAGGUUGGGAAUGUUUUGUUCAUGAAUGAUUGACCUAUGAAUGAGUCCAAGUUUUAGGGAGGUCGUAGUUCUGGCUGUGUUUUCCGCAGUUCUACAGAUUGCAGCCAUCAUUUAUUGGUCCUGGUUCAGUGUUAGUUGAGCAUGGUUGAGCAGAUCUCAUGGAGGAUGGUGUGUGAGGAUUUUGCAUGAGUAGUUCAUUUAGUAGCAGUGAAAUUACAGGUGUUACAGGUGAAUACAAGGACAUAGACUUGCAUAGCAUCUAUAAUUGAAAACAUCUUAUGAGUUUUUAUGAAUAUUCCAAAUGAGUAUCGCUAGGAAUGUAAUGCUUUUUGGAACCUUAUGAUGUAAUUUAAGGGUCAACACCCAGGGCUGCUCUGUAUGUUGCAAGGCACAGAGUGACACAACGUCUACAUAGGCUGCAUAGUGAAAGCAACAUGUUAGCAAAGCAGCACCAGCUGCUUCAGUCCUCUUUAAGUGUGUACCCAUGCAUUUAGACACAGUAUUGAGUGCAGGCCACAAGCAUUUUGGCAGCACCCAAUACACAAUCUCUGUAGUUACACAAGUAGACUUAAGGUCUAAAAUAACACUUCAGGUUGUAGUUACAUGCAUAAAGCAUGGAGUAAAACACAAGAUGUUGUGGACAUUGGAGGAAGAGUUGGGCAUAUAAGAAGUCUUAUUUUCAUGCAGGAGACUACAGGGGAAUUUGUAUUUAGUCACAGAUCUUCAAUUAACAUUCAACUUAAUGUUUAUUUAACUUAAAUAAGUGUUUUAGUUGCUUAAUGGUAACCCCACCUUAACCAGUUCACUUUCCCAUAAUCGCAAUAUUUCCCUAACUUUAACCAUAUCAUACUUUCCAUGCACAUGUAGACAAGAAUUAAAAAGCAUUGUUCUUACAUGGUGAAAGGGUUGCAUGUCCCCAUAUAUGUUUGACAUUUUUGAGGCUGUGUUUACUAUGAAGUAUGCACUUACAAAGUUUUCUUCUGUGCUAUUUAAGAAUAUAGAGGAAUUUAAUGUGGACUUUACAGAAAAUAUUAAAAAUACAUAUUAAAAAGUAAUAUUAAAUAUAUUAAAAGUAAUAUUUCCAUUAUCUUUAAUUUGAUGACACCAAAGGGCUGUUGUGACCUGCAGGUGCGAUACUUUCAUUUUUGUUGAACAUUGAGCAGUGAUCAGGGCUGGGGUGAAGCUCUAAUUGUCAUUAAAGACAACUGACGUUAUCCACAAACAGACAUUAUAGCGGUCUCAUCAGUUUUAUAUGUGCAUUUACUGUGUGUUGUCAUCAGACCUUAUUGUACUUUAACAAUUUGAAAUCUGUACCAUUGUAGUGAUUAUAUGCGAUAUGGUUCCUGGUAAGAAUCUGAAAUAAGAAUUUUAUCCCCAUCAGUGAAUAAUGCAGACACUUUCAUCAACACUGUUACACAAACCUCAUAUGACAUAUGAGUGUGUAUGUACCUAUGCAGUCUAUGGUAUGUGCAUAUUUACAUGCACAUAUUUACAAGACUCAUUUUGUAAUACAUACUUGCACUCACUGCACUCAGAAAUAUCCACACACAUACUACUCAUGGAUACAAAGUAUUUCCCACACAGGAUCACCCAAACACGCACACUCUGUGGUUGUGUGUCCCUCAGUGUGCAGCUUGCUGACAUGUGUGGAGCCUCCUGUGUGCGGGGCCAGGGCUGCAUGCCACUGUCUCAGCUCAGUAAUGGAUGUCCCGUUUGUUGCACACACACACACGCAGACAGAUAGACAGACAGCGGCGGGGCUCAGCACGGCCGUCCUGUCCACCCGAGGAUGAGUUCCUCCUCUGUUUAGGGAAAAGGAUGUGAUCUCAUUCGUUAAAAAUCCAACCUAUGUCGCUUGCCACUCAUGACUUAAUCCAGGCUUCUCCUUUGUGCAGAGCGCCCUCCCCUUCCCCUCUUCUCCUCUUUCUUUCUCUUGCUCUCUGUCUCUCUUCUGUCUAUCUAUCUGUGUGUAAUCUAACGUUUGCUUUCUUUACUACUGAUGAUGAAAGCCUAUGUAGGAAAACAAUGUGUUAUUUAUGACAUGUCAUUUUAUAGUGUGCAUAUUUACUAUCAGAAGGUGAAUACAUCACUCGAUGUCACAUCAGGUAAGCAAAACACAUGCAAAUAGGCUUUGCAACGUGUGACAGAGGCAAAUUUGCAAAAAACAGAAAAUAAAAAUAAUCUAAAAGAUUUUUGUAUUUGUGAUGGCUUGACCAGUGGUAAUGACACUGAAGCCAUCACAAAUUAUAUAAUAUAUAUUAUGUAAAUGAUAUGAUGAGGUGUCAGUGCUAAGCUGAGCACUUAGCUCUGCAACCUACCUCAGUGCAGCUGAGAUCAGUAGAAAGCUUCAAGUCAUCUACAUGGUUCUUGAACUGCUGAACACAAGAGACAUGUGCAGCCACAAACAUUUGCAAUUACGUAAUCGAAAGACCCAUGUUGUGCCUCUCAAAAUUUGAAAAAUCAUGGUCUGCAGUAGUGACCAUGAUGCACACAGUCCACACUACUGAUUGGAUUCUUGGUCUGUGCUACCUUCAUGCCAUUCAUUGCCUCUACCGCCUUCUUCAAAAACACACAGCCAGGUAGCCAAAGUAUUUUUGAAAAUCUAUGUAUGUACAUAUUGUUGUGGACAGUGGACACACAGUGAUGGCACACAGUUUGGUGCUGGGCAUAUACUGAGCCCUUUAUUCUGUAUAUGUAUUUCUGUCAGGCAAUUAGGCACAUGUAUUUAAGUACAUGCUCAUGUACUGUAUGUUCAAACACAAUAAACAGCUGUUAUCUCACACCAAUUCUAACAAUAGAUUGUGCAUCUGUUACUGUUUUUAAGCCACUUUGCUGUAUGUGGGACUGUUGUUUCCAAUGCAACAUGUUGGUCGAGCUGUCCUGUUCAUAAACACACACUUUAUAGUCCACAUAUGUGCAUCCAGUGAAACUUAUAUCAGUGUUUUUAUGAUGAUUCUCAUUAGACUAGUUGACAUAAGAGUCCCACAGAGUGACUUUGGUAGUGGGAACUGAACAUAUGGGCUUUUUCUGAAAACCUAACACAAUGUGUUGCUGACAGACGCAGUUAUACAGUGGAGUGCAGAAGCACAGAACUAGCCAACAACUUGUUGAGGUUUUUGUUUCUUUUUUAUUUCAUUUCCAGACCAGCUGUGUGCAAGUAUGUUUGUGGCCAUUUUGUGUGUGUGUGUGUGUGUGUGUGUGCGUGCGUGCGUGCAUGUUUGUGUGUAUGUUUGUUCAAGUCCUUUAUGUGUUUAACAUAUUCUUAAGCUUUAUUAACACUGCGCCUGGUGUCAUCCUGGCCAGUGAUCCUCAUCUCACUCCAGCAGGUCCUGCAGCCCUCACUGCAUACACUGUCUUACUUGUCACAGUCUGCCAGGGCAGCUGUCUGCAUGCAGCAAGUGAUUGUGGCACCUCAUAACUCAACCUACAUGGAGAGAAUGAGAGAGAGAUGAACUUGAUAUACUUCAUGCAAACAAAGCCUGUUGGACUGAACUGGCUAAGAGAGAAUUUCUUGUUUAAAACCACAGUGUUUCAUUUUCAAACAUCUUCCUGUUAAUUUGCUGUUUAUUUUUCUUUCAUUUUCUCCACCUGCUUAAAACUCAUUGUAGUCAAAGCAGGCUGGGACCUGUCUCCUAGCAUGCACUGGACAGGAUACAUCAUCAAUUCACUUUGAGGCUUCAUAGCCACCAAAGAUAUACACGCAGCCCAAGAAAGCAGGAUGUAAGGACGGAAAAGAGAGAGUGACAAAGAAAUACUAAGAAGAGAAUCUCAUCACCUGUUUUCCUAGAAAGCUAUUUAUCUGUCUGUCUCCCAUUUUGUACCCACAUAAAUCCAAAGAGUUACACUAAUCCUGGUAUGGUGUCAUUUAAGGCAGUCAAAACACGGUGUCCUCGUAUAUCUUCAAUAUUACAUCUCAUUACAGUUGACCAAGAGUUAUAUAGAGCUGUAGUGAGUCAUGGAAGUCUACAGGAUCAAAGUGAGACUCCAACAAGAUGAGGUGCGAGAUAAGAUAGAUGCUAGACAGGUGCUAUCAGGGACAGUAAUUCUUCAUGCAAAUAAUGAAGCCACCCCUGUCCUUACAAGGGGCUGUUGAAACAUGAAACACUCAUACAUAACUAUUAGCCUACCUUCUGCAUUUGCAUUACCUGGGGAUAUACUGGCAUUUCCCACUUUAAUGUGAAGAGCCCAAGGGAACAAACUGUCAGGAAGCUUUCUGGGAGCCAGGUAUUGUUGAGAAGAUUAUAAACCACUCCAAAAUGACCGGCGAAACUGGACCGACCUGAUGUCUGCUGUUUGAAACUGGAGUAGCACAAGGAUGUCUAGAAACAUCCUCCUGGUUCCAACACCCUCUGGGUGUUAUCAUAUCAUUUUUAUUAGAUUUACUUUAGACUUUUCUGUUGGUGUAUGUCUAACACAACUUCUUGGUAACUUCAAAUAUUACCUGCUAUACAGGAAUUUAGUCUUGACAAAAUCUGCAAUGACAUGAUAUGCAAAAGAAAAAAAUGAAUACAACUCUGGACUUUAACUCUUAAAUCAACAGUGUUAGGCAAGUCAGUUAUGCAUUACUCAUGGAAAAAGCACAUCACAUUACUUUAGUUACUCAUCCCAGCUAUCUCAAAGAUGCCUUUAAACAACUCCAGUUCGUAGACACCCACAUUCUGUAUUCAUUCUAUGUUGUAGACAUAGGAAAAAAUAUUUUUGCUUUACAAGCAGCUAGCCUACAGUUACAGUAGGAGUUAUUUACUGACCUUAAACAGCUAACCUUAAAAUUACCACUGGUGACUGCACACAGCACUUCAGAAGUCCCAUCCUCACAGUGAAGCGACAGGGAUCACACACCCUUCAACUCUGAACAAAACCCAGAGGAUUCCUGAAUGCAAGUUUACUAGUGGCCAAAGUUAGCGAACCAACUAUCUAAGAAUGUGAAACAUAAAUAAGACAACUUUUUCUCCACAUAGGUACAUUUCUCCUCUUUUGGUAGAAACUGACCUCCUCUGACCUCUUGAGCCAAGCUGUCAUGUCCUAGAUCAACCCCAUCCAAAUACUGUUAGGACAGUGAACAAGCCAAACUCCAAAGUGUUAAAGUAACAGAGAAAUAGUGGGAUUAAUACAGAAUUUAUUGGAAUUGGAAUCCCUUACACUACUCUAAUCUACUAAUACUACUACUAAUCACGUUAAUGUAUCAUAUUACUAAGUGAUGUCUAACUGCCUAACACUACUCCUCUCCUCUAAUUACUGUCAUAAUAACAAAAAAUGAUAUACAGAACCUUCUCAGGUAAACUUUAUCCCUUCAGAAAAACUUCACAUUCUUUAUUUUCUACAAAAGACAAUAAUGCUGCUUUUGCUUUUUGAACACCUUUAUUAAUGUAUAGAUUAGUAAAUCAGAAUAGUUACACCAUCUGUAGUAAUCAGACUGGAAGUUUCUGUAUUAAUGAUAAGGUUUGUUAUUCCGUACCUGUGUGACAAUUUGCUGCAAACUCCCUGGGGACUUGGAUUUCUGGUAUCAGUUGUGUGAGCACUGUUGACCACACAACGUGCCCUCAUCGGCACACACACAUUCAGCUGAGGAAUGUCUCUCACAAUCAAUCUUAUCAGGUGUUUUGUCUGUUUUGUCUGAGGGGCAUCCGAAGAGGGCUUGGCGUUACUUCUGAUAGGCUUUUUGGAAUACACACCUCUCACCCCUUGCCUCACACAUCCCCCUCUCACCCUGUAUCAUUCCCUGCUUCCUUGUACUACUCUUUCUUCCGUUUUCCCAUAUCCCUCAUUUGUUCCCUUUUUUUUCUUUUUUCUUUUUUUUACUUCGCUCAACAUUAAAGCUCCUUCUUUCUCUGUUCUCAAAGUUAAUUAGAGGAGUAAUACUCAAAGUACCUCCCUAGCCUCUUGAUGCAGUGCCUGUCAAGAGUUAAGGUAAAACAUUAAAACAUUUUUUGAUACUUGAUCGGCACAAGGCCUUUUUUCUUUCAGAAACACUCAAUAGCCAAGUCCUCCUCCAUGCAGGAAAGACGUCGUUACCUUGUUCCCAAGCCUACCUCCUGCAGCACCCGUACCCCUGACCCGUAACAUCCAACUGAUUUAUCCCUGAUUGUUAGGAGGCCUCUGGAGCUACUUCUCGAUUGGCUCCAUAUGAGAACAGUGCCAAGAGGUCAUCUAUAACAAUCAUUUUCAGUGGCUCAUUAUUCCCAGGCCAAACAACCCAAAGACCCAAUUUCCUACGGCAGUGUUCAUAAAAGUGACAGAUGGCCAAAACCUGGAAAAGCUUUCCUAUAAUCGUUAGCCUGCUGAAGUGCUACAUACAAUGCUCUUUAGUAUAGUGGAGUUUGGACUCUGUUCCCUCUCUCUCUCCUCCUCUCUCUCUCUCUCUCACUCUCUCUCUGUCUCUCACCCACUCCUUCCACCUUCUCUAUCCUGUUCAUUUUUUCCAAGGUGAAGAAUGUGAAGGAGGAGAACACAGUGUGUUUAAUAGCUUUAGGCCAUAUUCCACCCAGUUCAGCUUUCCUCCUCUUCGUAUGGCCCACAAUGUGGAUCCAGCACACAAAUAUUUGCCAGGUAGUUUGUGUCUCUCUGAAGGCUCACUCUACCUUAACGUGGGACAGCACUUAAAGUCACAUGAACAGACAGAGGCCAAGACAAGGUCUCCUUUCAUCCCACAGACCUGCCACUCUCUGGUAUUCAGGGUCAUCUAGUCACUUGAGCAAGUCUGCACCCCUCCAUGGCUGCCUGUGAGGGUCUUGCUGGGGAAGUGCCUGUGUGAUAAAUGUGUGGCUUGGAACAACAGCUGAGACUAAGUCUUGGCUCAGCCUUCCCGCUGCCUGUUUCAGACACAAGUGUGGUUUCUUCAUAUCUUGGCUCUUUGUCAUGAAUGACCUCUUUCAUUUUUCCCCACCUCCAAUAAUAACCAAACUCCUCUACUCAGCAUUUAAGAAAAAAAAAUCCUUCCAUUUUUCUCUGAGGACUUUUUUCUCAUAUUUGUUUCCACUCCUGUCUUUUUGGCAGAGUGAAAUGCUAGGUCAUUGCAGUAACUGUAUCCACUGCCUGGUGGCUUGCAGGAUUGUGUGGGGUGGUGGGUGGGCAGAUGGGUGGUUUAAAAGAUGUUCAAAACAUACAUCCUCUUGCCAGUGAGGUUUUUCAUUCACCAAAAUCUUCUGUCUUACUCCCACUCUCUUUUUUGGCCUGUGCAUGUGGGUUUGUUUCCUCUUGUAUGUGUGUGUGUGUGUGUGUGUGUGUUUUGUUUUGUUUUUUUUUUUUUUUUGGU